rfam:Strongylocentrotus purpuratus Contig1373_fixed, whole genome shotgun sequence.
GUCUUUGUAGUGUAGUGGUUAUCACGUCUGCUUUACACGCAGAAGGUCCCCGGUUCGAGCCCGGGCGAAGGCU